UACGGAGGGUGCAAGCGUUAUCCGGAUUCACUGGGUUUAAAGGGUGCGUAGGAGGGCAGGGAAGUCCGUGGUGAAAUCCUAGAGCUUAACUCUAGAACUGCCGUGGAUACUCUCUGUCUUGAAUCCCGUGGAGAUGAGCGGAAUAUGUCAUGUAGCGGUGAAAUGCUUAGAUAAUGACAUAGAACACCAAUUGCGAAGGCAGCUCGUUACACGAAGAUUGACUCUGAGGCACGAAAGCGUGGGGAUCAAACAGG
rnacentral:rRNA from 1 species